GGUGAAAUGAUGGUAUUUCGGGGAAGCUUGCUUUGGAUAUAAGGUGCAAAGUGAUCCACGUGAGGAAACAAGUGGCUGCUUCUUUGAAUCUCACAUUGAAAGAUGAAACAUAGAAGAGAAAAAGGAGCAGAGAAAACUAAGGUUUUUCGUAUAGUUUGAGUACUCCCAGUCCUCUCCAGGAAUUUCUUUGUUCCCAGGGCAUCGAUGUAGUGUGUAGUGCUUGACGCAUGCCUGUUAUUUAAGUUAUAAAGGUUAGAGGGAUAGGCUCAAUAACCAAGAGUUGCGCACCAGGUACCAGUUGGCUACUGGCUAGGGCUAUCCAGAAAGAAGUAAUGUGGAAGUCUUCAGACAUCUAGUUUCAACCAAGUAAUUAGACCUAUUAAAAGAUGACUUGUGCUGAUCGAUAAGGGGUGAAACUUACUCACACCCACCAAUUUAAUAUAUGCACGUCAUGUGUUUACAUUUACAGUUCAUUUUACUUAAUCUUACUUAAUUAACAUGUGUUUUACUUCAUUAAAUCACGUAAUAAUUAAUUACAAUUGCAUUAA